AUACGGAGGAUGCGAGCGUUAUCCGGAUUUAUUGGGUUUAAAGGGAGCGUAGGUGGGAUAUUAAGUCAGCUGUGAAAGUUUGCGGCUCAACCGUAAAAUUGCAGUUGAAACUGGCAGUCUUGAGUACAGUAGAGGUGGGCGGAAUUCGUGGUGUAGCGGUGAAAUGCUUAGAUAUCACGAAGAACUCCGAUUGCGAAGGCAGCUCACUAGACUGUUACUGACACUGAUGCUCGAAAGUGUGGGUAUCAAACAGGAUUAGAUACCCUGGUAGUCCACACAGUAAACGAUGAAUACUCGCUGUUUGCGAUAUACAGUAAGCGGCCAAGCGAAAGCAUUAAGUAUUCCACCUGGGGAGUACGCCGGCAACGGUGAAACUCAAAUGAAUUGACGGGG
rnacentral:rRNA from 1 species